UAAAAGAUGGCUUAGUCGGUAGAGCAGGAGACUCUUAAUCUCAGGGUCGUAGGUUCAAGCCUCACAUAGGAAAA